ACUGGCCACUCUGAAAAGCAGGAGCACACCAUCGCGCCUCGCCGACGGUGAAAGCCGCGCCCCUGGGCGCGGCGAAACUCUCAGGCCCAUGACAGAGGGGGACUC
rnacentral:ncRNA from 2 species